GUAAAAAUGAUGCAGGAUCGACUAUGUCGAAUAAAAUUCUAGGUAGAAUUAUGAUAAUGACAUUGUCUGCCUAUGUGUCUUGACCAAAUUACGUGCCAGCAGUCGCGGUAAUACGUAGAAGACUAGUGUUAUUCAUGUUUAAUCGGUUUAAAGGGUACCUAGACGGUAAAUCAAGCCUAAAAUUAAAUGAAGGGACUAAUUUACUAGAGUUACUUAUGAGGGGGUAUUAAAGUACUGCUGGUGUAGAGAUGAAAUUCUGUCAUACCUCUUUUCAAUAGAAAAACAAUGGCACAGGUAUAGGCGAAAGCAUCCCCUUAUGUGAUAACUGACGUUGAGGGACGAAGGCUUUGUGUAGCGAACAGGAUUAGAUACCCCAGUAGUCAAAGCAGAAAAUGAUGAAUGUCAUAGAUUAGAUAAAUAAGUUUAUUCUAUAAAUGAAAGUGUAAGCAUUCCACCUCAAGAGUAAUUUGGCAACAUUGGAACUGAAAUCAUUAGACCGUUUCUGAAACCAGUAGUGAAGUAUGUUGUUUAAUUUGAUGAUCCGCAAAAAACCUUACCACAAUUUGAAUAUUUAUAUUUUUUAUUGUUUUCUUUUUAAUUUUCUUCUGAUUUGAUUUGAUUUUUCUAAAGAAAAAAAGAAAUAGAGGCGAUAUGAUAUAUUUACAAGCGUUGCACGGCUGUCUUCAGUUAAUGUCGCGAGACUUUGGUUAGUUCCAUUAAAUUAACGUAAACCCUUACUUUAUUUUUAUAUAGAGUUGUUCCCCGCUAUAUUGGAUAUGAUAA
rnacentral:rRNA from 1 species